CGAGUGCGCGCAAGAGGAAACGCUCGUGAACGCGCACACGCUCUAGACCAGCAUGCAGUUGUUUCAUGGUGUCUCGCUUCUUUAGCUUGAACGUUCUCUCUGUCUUUCAUGAUUUCUGGUAUGAUCCGAAGUUUAACUCAGUUUAUACGUUUAUAGUUUAACACGACAGAUCGUCGUCUUCGCGCUUUUCAGCUGAAAGUAGCUUAUCCUCGACUAAAACACUCAAGCAGAGGUAUCCGUCUCAACACCAUUAUGGUUUUCACCAUGGCUAACACCACACCCACUGCAACAGGCGUUGUACCAACAAAUGCAGCUCCACAGCAAACAGACUCAACCGUCAUAGGAGUGGUCAUUGCACUUGUGCUGGUGACACUUGCCAUCUGUGGGUUCUUGUUGUACCGAUAUCUGUGCCACAACAAGGGAGUUUACCGAACUGUAGGUGAGCCUGCUGCAGGAGUGGACCCAGAUCAGGUCUACAAUGACACCGUCACUGAAAACAAGAAGGAAUACUUCAUUUGAACUGCUUAACAUGGAAGGAUUCCAACAAAGAUGGACUGCUGCAGACAUCUUAAUAGUCUAUGUGGAGAGGCUUAUAUGCAUGGCAUAUGGGACAGUGCAUCAGCACAACCACUUGUCUGCGCUGUAUGGAAGACAUUUUUAGUUAAAGGGAUACAGUUUGAGUUUUAUAUGGUGCUGUUACAUUAGGAGGAGGAGCCACAAGCCAAAGGAGUUGUUUACUCAUGACAUCAAUAAGCGUAAAAUGGUUGUGGUUCCGCUUUAAUUCUGGUAUGAUAAAGUUACUGACAGUUACUGUGACAAUCAUUAUGAUGAUACUCUGUCAAAUUGUUCCGCCUACAGGUAUAUGUAGUCUAUAGUCCAUUAAAAUAAACGAUAUAUUUGCUGCUUUAGCAUAAAUGCCAGGAACGUUAAAGGAGAAUGUGAGAUUCUAUACGAUCAAAGGCAGCAUAAUGUUUAAAUGAGUUUUCAAGGAAUUAUUUAUUAUUUCCUUGAAUGAGUUCAGCUAAGUGGCACUGCACCAAAUCAAAAGCCAAACAUUGCAGGCACUCUACCAAUUUGGUUUUAUAUUAGAUUCUUAUUCGAUAUUUGGAGUCAUAAGACUUGUACUACAGAGUUCAUUUGUGGCUCUUAAAAGUGUUAUCCUCCUUUGCCUUGGACCAGCUAGUCUUUAUAUUGUUUAGUUUUUUUAAUCGAUAGCAGCAUUUCCUUUUUUGUGAAUUGUUGGAGAGUCCACUUUUACAGUGCCUUGCAAAACAUUUGAAUACAUUUUACAACGCUUUUAAAAUUGUAAUUGGAAAUUCACACUUUUUUUAAUAUCAUUUAGAAAAGUUUUGUUACAAACGAAUGCAAUAAUGUGCCAAAUGUCAAUAUUACCUUGGUCAUCAUUGUAAAUCAGAUACGCUCAGAUCACGGUACGUCAAAUACAGAUAUGAUACUG